CCUACGGGAGGCAGCAGUGAGGAAUAUUGGUCAAUGGACGAGAGUCUGAACCAGCCAAGUAGCGUGAAGGAUGACUGCCCUAUGGGUUUUAAACUUCUUUUAUAUGGGAAUAAAAUGUUCCACGUGUGGGAGUUUGUAUGUACCAUAUGAAUAAGGAUCGGCUAACUCCGUGCAAGCAGCCGCGGUAAUACGGAGGUUCCGAGCGUUAUCCGGAUUUAUUGGGUUUAAAGGGAGCGUAGGUGGAUUGUUAAGUCGGUUGUGAAAGUUUGCGGCUCAACCGUAAAAUUGCAGUUGAUACUGGCAGUCUGGAGUACAGUAGAGGUGGGCGGAAGUCGUGGUGUAGCGGUGAAAUGCUUAGAUAUCACGAAGAACUCCGAUUGCGAAGGCAGCUCACGGGACUGCGACUGACACUGAGGCUCGAAAGUGUGGGUAUCAAACAGGAUUAGAUACCCCAGUAGUC
rnacentral:rRNA from 1 species